UACGAAGGUUGCGAGCGUUGUUCGGAAUCACUGGGCUUAAAGCGUGCGUAGGCGGCUCAUCAAGUACUUUGUGAAAUCCCCCGGCUCAACCGGGGAAUUGCUUGGUAUACUGUUAGAGCUUGAGGCAAGUAGGGGCGCGUGGAACUCUUGGUGGAGCGGUGGAAUGCGUAGAUAUCAAGAGGAACGCCGGUGGCGAAAGCGGCGCGCUGGGCUUGUCCUGACGCUGAGGUACGAAAGCCAGGGGA
rnacentral:rRNA from 1 species